GAAAUUUCUGUUUUCAAGUUUUUUGAGUAUAUAUAAAGUGACAGUUUUUGUAGCUAAGACAUUUACAUUGUAUUUGGCAGCAGACUCACAAAACCUCCACAAAUUUCUUUUGAAAAGCAGUUUUCUCACCCACUGUUAGAACAUCACUUUCACCUUGAAGUACAUUAAGUAUGUUUACUUUUUCAAAAAUAACUGCUAGGUAGCAAUCUACUGGCAGACACUUGUCAUCACAGAAAAAAACCAGCAAAUUCAGAGCACUUGUCUUUUGGUAAAAGAAAAAGGUACAACUGGACUUUAAAUUCUCGUCUUCUUUAAAGUUGCUAUCAGAUAACCAGCAAAUGCCUGUAGGGUUUUCAUGGUCAUUUCCCAUCUUGUUAUGAAGUACUGUAAAGAUUCUACUCUUUCAGGGUCUUGUUUUUAUUAAAUGAACCACAUCAACCACAUCCUGUAGCACCUUGUGCAUAUCUGGCUCCCAUCUCUUUGCUGCAAUAGCUCAUCUGUGAACACUGCAGUGCAUGAAUUCCAGGUGUAGUGGUGCCUAGGUAACCUUAACCCCCAAUUCUUCUCUUAUUCUGCUCCACCAGUUGUUACACUUGCAGAGCUCUUCCAUAAAACAUUUUUUAAGAGGUAAUUCACUGUUGAGAAUACAGCUUCUGUGGUAGAUAUUCCUUUCAGUGUCUCUCAGAAAGAAGAUCUGCAUUUUACUAUUGAAACAGAAUCUGGAAAAUACCAUCAUCUGAGGCAUGUCAGAACAUCUGUACUCUAAUCCAGCUGCACAGGAAACCUCUCCUACUAUGUAAUUCGUACAGACUCUUGUUUCUUCAAACCUUAAGGAAUGUCUGCUGUGCAUCUUCUAGCAGUGUUUACUGAUGAAAGAACACAUUUUAGUUUGCUCCUCUAUUGCUUUCUGUGUACUAUCACAGCCAUUUUUACGUUUUAUGGCAGGAAGAACAAGUGUUUCCCCUGUAGUAUGUGGCAUUUUCUCUUUUGCUGUGAAGCAAGAAAACUCAAAGGAGGCUUCUACACAUUUGUUAUAAGGUUCAGUGAAAUUUUGUGAAGUAUUGGAUUGAAUGUCACACGGCUUGAAGCAUCACUGAAAAAAUUGUAGAGGUUUGUCUUCAUGCUCUGGAGGACUAAAUUUUAAAUGUCUCACUAAUUCUGAUGGCUUCAUACCCUCAUUAGUUAACUUAUCAAAGCACAAUACACACACAGGGUAAAGUUUAUCAUGUAACGAUAGCAGAUGUAAAUUCAUAUUUAAAAUAACCUUUGAUAAUUUUAAUCUUUUUUUAUCCUACUUCCCCUCAGAUCUGAUUAGCUGGCUAUUGUUUGUUCCUCAUAAUGGGACUGAAUAAGGGCCUGUACUAGAAGUGUCAGCUCUGCCAUUCCCUGUCAUUUCUCUGUGCUGACAUUAUUAGUGUUAUCUUCAAUCCAUAUUCUUUGCAGGAACCUUUAAAAGCCACUUUUCCAAUGUGUGAGGAUUAGUUUCAUUAACGCUAGAUAAUAUAAUCUAUAAAUCCACUUAAUCCAGUGUGGGCACACAUCAAUUGCAAUUCAUUGCAAUAUGCUGAAAGAGAAUAAAUUAUUGAAGGCACCAUGGUCAAUCCUCCACAUUGGGAGCAACUCUACACCUCAUCCACUGUAUGUGACAAGUGGCCAUGUGACAUUAGGACACCACUGCCAACACAAAUACUUAAUAUUAGUGAAGUUUAAUCUGUUUAUUUUUUAUAUUAAAAAAAUAGGAAUUCUGGUAUUUUCUUCCCACAUCCAGCAGAUCACCUUGUGCACCCUCUGGAGUGUGCACACCCCAAUUUGGAGACCACUGCUCUAGAGAGCCUUCUCCUCUUGCCCCCAGAAAGCAGACAACAUGUGGAAAAAAGACUGUCAGAGAUCCUGGGGAGGUUGAAAACACUAAAAAGAAUCUCAGGAUGCACAUGUGCCAGAGAAUGCCUCAAAAAACCUACCCUGUGAUUCAGUGUGCACAAGGCACAUGCAUGUCCAGAGCAGAGUGUGGACUGAUGCUGAAGGUUCUUCCAUGCUGUAGGAAUGUAGGGUGGUAUUCGCCUGCAACAAUGUCAAGAAGUCACACACCAGGGCAUUAUGAUGGGAAACUGCAAGCCAUAUCCUGGACCAAGGUCAGCUGAAGAUUACAUGACUCCCAGGCAUGCCACUUCCAAGCCCAGCUGUGAGGGCCACAACUUUGGCCACAAAAGCUUUGAGAGUGAGAUACUCCUUGAGGACCACUCCCCUCAUAAUGGUCUUGAGCUCUGGGAUCCCAGACCCUGAAAUCAACAGCAGAGCCGGGGAUGAAAAAAACCCACGG